CACUCUUUGGGUCCACGCUGCGUUUACACUGUGUUUAUGAGCUGUAACACUCACCACAAAGGUCUGCAGCUUCACUCCUGAAGCCAGCAAAGACCACGAACCCACCAGGAAGAAGGAACAACUCCAGACACGCAGCCUUAAGAGCUGUAACACUCACUGCCAAGGUCUUCAGCUUCACUCCUGAGCCAGCCAGACCAUGAACCCACCAGAAGGAAAAAACUCGGAACACAUCCCAACAUCAGAAGGAACAAACUCUGGACAUGCCGCCUUUAAGAACUGUAACAACGCAAGGGUCCGCGGCUUUAUUCUUGAAGUCAGUAAGACCAAGAACCCAAUUCCGGACACGUUUGGACCCUGAAUUUCACUUGGACCAACACGGUGAUGGUGACAAGCCCAGGUUCAUGGUUUAACAUUUACUAUGUGGCAGGUGGUAGACUAACGGAUAAGAAAAAAAUGGUAUGGUGAGCCCUAAAUCUAUAGACUGGUGCAUAUGAGAAGAGAAGACACAAGAAAACACACAUGGAAGAGAGUGAUGAAGGCGAAGACCGGAGUGAUGUAGCUCCAAGCCACAGAAUGUCGCAGAUGGAAAGGCAGCUCAACAUCUGAGAAGCCAGUCUUACUCCCUGCAGGCAACAGCUGCUUCCAGAAAACAGCCCUGUAAUUGUCACCAUCAAAUCCAUAUAUUUUCAAGGGAAGUUGGUCCCACACCAGAAGUCAUAGCUGAAUCACCAGCAGUAAUGCAGGGACAUACUGGUUGCUUCUUGGCUUUUCCAACCCUCUGCCAUGCUUGAACAUCUUUGUGAAAGUCCAGGAACAACAAAUAAGCUUAAGGAUAAAAGCCCCCCAGCCAUACCACCACAACCCCCUGUUAAACUCAUGCAUGACUUGUAGAAUCCUUUCCCCACUGUCACUAAAAGGCUUUUUACAUUUUCCCUCCUUAAAACACCAGUUUACUGAAUGGAACGCUAUUUCCUAAAUAUUUGCUACACACACAGCUGUAUAUAGAGUUCCCAGGAGAUGACUUUUUUCUUGUCAUCUUUUAAAACUACAGUUAUAUGUUGAUUUAAUUAUCUUCUCUCUAGAUUACUUCACCAAAGUACAGUUCCUACAGGAAGAUAAUGAUCUGACCUAACCUACUAUUGGCUGAAGGAAGGAGAAAAGCAGCUGAAGAUGUCUGUUGAGUGAUUACCCUCAUAAUCCGUGACUAAGAACAUCCAAAUCAGCAUGGCUUCUUCCUGUCUGAAAUUAUUACUACUUAGGUAUAGCAAAACCAACAGAUCAGGACACGACUGCCAUUGAAGAGAUAGUUUGUCAUACUCACAGAUCCCAAGACGAGAGGAGAACACACAGAGAAGCACAAGUUAUUGUGGUUUCUGCUGCAAGGAUGGGAAGACCCUGGAGAAAGGAAAAGAAGGUGAGGAUAGAAGGGGCCAGUAGGGAUUGAAGAUUAAAAAUGUGGCAAAGCACACAUCUCAACCCAGUGCUGUCAGAGAGUCUGCCCACA
rnacentral:lncRNA from 1 species